GAUAAUAACUGGAGAUGACUUCGGCUAUUGUCCUCGGAGAAACCAAGGCAUUGUGGACUGUUUCCUGGCUGGUGCGAUAUCUAACGUGUCCCUUCUAGUCAACGGAAGUGCUGCAGCAGAUGCAGCCAAGCUGGCAAGGAGCCUUGACCAGUGGUGUAAGCAGGAAGAGUGGAUCUAUCCCCAGCUGAGAGAAGAAGCUUGAAGCAAAUAGCUUGUCCUUUCCCGGGGCACAUUCCAGUGCGGUGGAAUUUGGUCUUUCACACACAUGGUGCCAGGAUUGUCAGAGUGAUGGACUGCUUUUGUGGCUUCUUGAUAAACUGUCUAUGACAUGAUUGCUUGUCACUGCAAGUCUUAAGCUGUCACUCCUCAUCUGGUAUUCAGAUAAUUGGACACAGGAAGAGCUAAUUAAUAAGUAGGCAACUUUUCCUUCCUAAGCACCUCAUGCUGCUCUACAAUGUUAGGACCCAGCAUCUUUCAGAAAGGAACACAGGUCUUCUGAAAUUUCUUUAUUCCUUUCAUUUUCACAAUAAUUCUGUAGUUUCUGGGUAUACCAUCUGUUGCCCUGAGUCUUGAUUAAAAGCCUUGGCAGACAUGUGAUAGUCAGCAGAUCUUUGUAUCAGCUCUAACACAAGCCAACUGCAGAACAGCAGAACCAAGCAGUAAAAAAUGUACCUUCCUUAACAUUCAGGCUCAGCACCUUGCGCUUUCCUCAUCUGCUGUCACAACUGGGCUGAAAGAAGGGGCACACUCAUUCCUGGCAGUAGAGAAGUUUCAGCAGAGGCCUGAUCCAUCACCAAAUGACAAACCUAUUGAUAGCAUCUGCCAGAGCAGAACAUAACCAGAACAGCAGGUGGGAGAACAGACUGCCAUUGUAGGUUGAAGAUUUUUUUCAGUAACUCAAAGCUUUUCUCUUUAUGGGGCCUUGACUGACUGUGAUUUCCUGCUUAUUCAUAUAAUAUAAUCACAAUUUUCUACUUAAGAGGCCCUGCCUUGAAGUCAGGCUCUAGAAUAAUCACCAGGAAGUCUGUCUUUCUCAGAAACUGGAAGGGUUAUUUUGUAACUUGAAGAGAUGCCUUAAUUUUUCCUUAGAAAAGUUGAGAUAGAAAUAGGGACACCUAAGACAGUUUACUGCCAUAUCCCCCCCCCCCUUUACAUCAAACAGCUCAGGUGUCACUGAGCCUUAGAACCCUUUUCCAUUUGAUUGUGUCCAAAUAGCUUAUGAAGAGUGACAUAUUUUAGAACACAACCUCAGUCUUCCUGGGUAUUUUUUUGUGGUUUAAAUACUGAACAUCAGCCGAAGCCCCCACAACAUCUGGGUACGUUUAACAGAAGAAUGUAACAAAGCCACAUUUAAUUGCUCCAUGUUUUCACUUCCUUUCCCAUCAACACUAAUUGCAAAAUAUGUGUGUAAAUUGUGACUUAAUUCUGACCCUCACAGUCAACAUCUGACUAAUUUAGAAUUCUGCUUUCUCGUCACCCUUUUAUGUGACUGUUAAUCACACAGCAGACAGUUCCUCUGCUGCACUGUUUGGAUAGGGGUGGGACCCAAUCUGAAGCUUUACACUAGAAUCUCAGAUCAUAUUGACUUUACUGGCAACAGCCCAUUUUACUGACAUAAGGCUACAGACACAGGAUCUGCACUUGAUACAAAGAUGUAAUUACAGCAGAAACCUGGGUCCCUAAGCUAAGUUACAGCAACCAGCUCUUAACAGUGCAGAGGGUUUAGAGCAUUUCUGGCAGAAGAAAUAGGUUUUUAGCAGUAAUAGAGCAAGAAAGUAUGCUAUUUGAAGAAAGACAGAUAUUCCUGAAUGGUGAAAGUGUGUGUGAGGAGGUAUGCAAAUGCCAACAUGAGGAAACUAAGAAAUGCACGCUUUUGCUCAAAUCCUUGCUUUGUUUGGCUUCAGACACAUGGGUGUCCACUGAAGCAAGAUGUUUAGAUACAGAUAUGUAUGUGAGGCUCUGACUUGGGUCACACUUGGGCUGAAACAUGAUGAUCAGCAAUUUCCUGGAUGAUACAAAUAGGAUGUUGAAGGUGGAAUUUGUUUACCCAUCAAGGGAAAGGGAAAAGUGCUAUGCUUAAGCCAGAGCAUGCAGCCUUCAGCAAGGCAAUUGGAACAGUGCUUGGCAAAUCUCAUAAUUCCCACAGCCAUUGCAAGUGCUCUCAGGAGUACACAGAGUCCCAUGGCAUGGGCAGGCAGGACCCAGGACACUGUUACUCAUCCAGCCUCAGAGUGACUCACUGCAGUUACCCAUCUCCAGGGUCCCUUUGCUGCCAAGGAAGUCAGUGAACAGGGACUGCAGCUGCACAUUGCCUCCGCAGAGACAUUUGUUCAGAGCACUCAUCUGGCAAAACAAGCAACUACUUGAAAAGGAAGCAGUUUAAGCAGUUUACCUGAUUGUAUUUCCUCUCUCUUUGAUAACUGAACUGGGCCUGCUGACUCAGAAAUCUUUCCAGGGCGAAUUCCUUCUUGCUCCUCCUAGCACUUGCUCUAAGGAUAUUUCCUCCUGCACAAGCUUCUCCUUUUCUGCCCCCACCUCUACCAGAAUGCUGAGAAGAGAACCGUAGAUGUAACAGCCAACUUUCAGUGCAAAAAGCUCACUAAUGCAUUAACAUGAGUGGCCUGAACCUCUUCACCACAAGUGCUCAGGCAGCUCAGUCUAAUGCUGAUCCUGCUGCAGGAGCACACACCUGACUGAAAGGGUCAUUAUAGCUUAAAAGAGUCAUCAAAAAGGAUUUAGAGACACCAAGUAGAUUCUUCACAUCAUUUUGUUUUGGCAAUGGUGGCUGUAUGCAGAAACUAAACUGUUGCCUGAAGCCAAAUGCCAGUCCUUUUAUUUUGCAUCUCGUGUGGGCAAUUAGCAGUUCAUGACCAGCAAUGACCAGCAGAGCUCACCCUGUCCCAUCUGGAAAGGGCUUGGGCAGAGGAGUGGGUAUGAGGCCAAACCCACAACAGCUGAGCUCUGGUCCCAGGGCAGCGUCACAUGCUGUGUAAGCUGCUUGAGCUGCUGGUCUCUGCUUCAGUAUUUCAGCCAACAAGUUAGCAGAUAGUUUACAGUCUUUUGAAAGAUGUGGGCAACUACAAAGUAUAUUUCUGUAGCAGAAAUAAUCAUAUGUGCUCUGAAAAGUGGGCCCUUUCAGGAUAUUCCUGCACCUUUACUUUUCUCCCUCUGAGGUUGCAGUAGAACUCUGCUGUACCCACUGAACUGUCCUCCUCCCCCUACCCUUACAACUUCUCAGGAUGCCUUCUUCUGUGCACCUCCCACAGAUGAAUAUUUCUGAACAAGUUUCUCAUGUAUGGCAUUUUGAGUUUUGCUUUCAGUGCCUGUAUCCCAGAGCCAUUAAACAUGAGCAAUUCCUCUCCAGA